rnacentral:rRNA from 1 species
GACGAACCGUCCAAACGUUAUUCGGAAUCACUGGGCUUACAGAGUUCGUAGGCGGUCUGGAAAGUUGGGUGUGAAAUCCCUCGGCUCAACCGAGGAACUGCGCUCAAAAACUACCCGACUCGAGGGAGAUAGAGGAAAGCGGAACUGAUGGUGGAGCGGUGAAAUGCGUUGAUAGUCAUCAGGAACACCGGUGGCGAAGGCGGCUUUCUGGGUCUUACCUGACGCUGAGGAACGAAAGCUAGGGGAGCGAACGGG